AUCAGUGGCCAUAGCAAAGGGGAUCACCUGAUAUCAUUCCGAACUCAGUAGUUAAGCCCUUUAGCGCCGAAGAUACCAGAGAUGGGAAAAUAGGGAGCUGCUUUUU
rnacentral:rRNA from 1 species